rnacentral:rRNA from 1 species
AUGAAACCACCCGUAGUCGCGAAUAUCUCCUCCUUCCCCAAUCCAAGAUUGUAGAAUGAAUAUCUAAGAGAGACCUACGAAGAAUGUGGCCACAAAUCCAUAGCAGAGUUCGACCAUCCCAUAUAUGUAGGGGGAAUCGGAGGAAGAAGACAGAUUGAUCGUUAUGGUAGCAAGAGUGAUAGUACAAUCUAUAAUGCUAUGUCAACAGGUAUAUAA